ensembl:antisense Hk1os hexokinase 1, opposite strand
AAGUGGGCGUGGAAAGAGAGCGGAAGCCGAAACUAGGCGGCUUCACAGAUCUUGCACUGGGUCCCUGUGCCUGCCUGCCAUCGAGGAUCCAAAAUCUAAGGAUGAUGCUCAGAGUCCCACCACAGCCUGUCAGAGUUCACAUAGCGAAACCCAAAGCGCCUGCCCCUGUGACAUCAUCUGAAUUCAGCCACCCUCACUACCGCCACCAGCCCAGGAUAAGGAUCAUAUUUCCAGUCUCCUUUGCAGCUACCCGGCCACUGGACCAAUCUCCAACCAGGCAGAUAAAGGGAUGGAAGUUAGAGUCUCGCCUGGCGACUUCCGGUAACAGCUUUGUGCCACUUUCCCUAGAACGAUCCUCCUGCCUCCUUCCUGCCAGCUCCAUGGAUUGUAAAAUCACGUUGGGCGUGGCAGCCAGACAGAAUAAAGCACCAAAUUAAAACAGGUGCCAGUGUCCCCAUGUCAUGCAGAGUCAGCAAGGCACUCUGCACCAGCCCCAGCCCCAGCCCCACACUUCCUAUCUCCAGGUUUCUAAAAUAAAGAGAAAAAUGAAAUUGCCCUGUGCCCCAAACUGUGGCUAUUUGAGGGUUUUCUAUUACAAGUAGGCGAACUCAUUCCUAGCCAGUAUAGAGGCUAAGCGGCCAAGGGGUAAGGGGAAUCGUCUCAAGCAGGAUGGACAGGAAGGUAUCCCCGAGGGUGUGACAUUUGGGCAGAACAAAAGGAGGGAGAAGCCAAGCUGUGUGGGCAACGGUGUCCCAGGCAGAACUUGCUCCCUGUCACCUAAGCUGGCAACCCAAGCCUUGUCCCCAGGCACCUUCUGUUCUACAGGCCACGUCUCACCUGUCACCAGAACAGAGUUCAGAACAAAGGAAACCAACUAAGGACACACACUCCCAGUCUCACCUCUCAGGCUGCCUUCUGCAGUCUGGCCCACAAAGGGUUAAACUGCUCCCCNNNNNNNNNNNNNNNNNNNNNNNNGCCUUGUCUGGAAAACUGAUCUUGUGGGUUCUUUUAGUUCUGUAAGUCUGUGGUACUUUGUUAGGGAAUCCUUAAAGGAGAGGUUUCCUUUCAGGGAUAUGGUCUGACUGUGUAGCCCAGACUGGGCUCGAACUCACAAUCUUCCUGCCUGAGCCUCCAAGGGCUGGGGCUCUGUGAAGGUUAUGUUUUAUUGAGAUGUAAACUCACAUAUUACAUAAUUUAACCAUC